AAUGUACUUCCUUCCUCGUCCAAUAAAAAAUGUCUCAAGUUUGUUAAAAUUUGGAUAUAUCUAAACAUGACUUAGUGUGUAGAUGCAUUCAAAUUUGGUCAUAGUUGAGACAUCAUUUGUUGGACGGUGAGAGUAUACA
rnacentral:pre_miRNA from 1 species